AUCGCUUCUCGGCCUUCUGGCUAAGAUCAAGUGUAGUAUCUGAAACAAAAACAUAAACGUUUCAUAAUGCACACAUA
ensembl:snRNA U2 U2 spliceosomal RNA